CACAGUGGAGUGGUAGUUAAAUCAAGCUACCUGAUUCCCUGGCUUCCGCUAUUGCCCUAACGUUGGAUGAGAGUUUCCCCUAAUUACCGUAAAGGGGACACACGAGUGAUUUGUUCGCUAACCCUAACAAUUUCCUUAACCCUUUUCCUCAGUUUCCUAACCUGCUGCGUAAAUUCGAACCUGAAAGUCACUUCGGUAGCGAAGUGGCGUGAAAAUAGUUUUUCCGUCUGUAAAGGGUGAGACUUGUGGACUCUGUCAUUCAGCGUGGGACGCUAGAGAAUGCUGAUGCACUGGGCACCAGAGCCUGUGCCCUCUGGAACACCACGACCGGACGCCUACCAAGGGUCAGGAGAGGGGGAGGGAUCUCCUGUCUGACCCCCGACGACCACCCUCUCUGCCCAAAUGGUUUAUUCAUAUACCAGGCUACCACUAUGAGAACAGACACAGGGCAGUGUACUAUGCACAGGGCUUAACUCCUAACAUGGCAGCCUGUGAGGUACUGGUACUGUAGCUAUGGUACAUUUACUGCAUAAUACCACGACCUACUGGAGGGUCAGAGCACAGCGGGCAAACUGUUUGAAAUGACAAACUCAAAGACAAAUCCUCACACACAUAGGUAGACCGACAGUACAGCAAAGUAUUUUUCAUAGUGUCGACACAUGCCCUCCAGAAAUCCAAACCCAGGAACAUAUGGCUGCAUCUCAUUCAGCAGACACUGCUCACCUCCAAUCCACCUUAGCACAUUACUUUAGGGGCUAACACAUACACAGACAUGCGCAUACAUAGAAUUGACAUGAACGCGCAUGCACACAAACACACACACACAAUUAAUUAUUGAUUGAUUGAUAAACGGAUAGAUAGAUACCGUUGAAGUCGGAAGUUUACAUACACUUAGGUUGGAGUCAU